UAUGGUUAAUAUUAGGGGCAAUCUGUGACUCUGACGUCAGCCCUGCCUGGAUAUGGACAUACACUGGUGACGAUGUUAAGAUUAUAACCUCGUUUAUCGUAUAUACGCUAGAGGACGUGCUGAUAUUAGGUCUCGUUGUCUUUCGACGUUGAUGGGCUUGGUUAUAACAUUCUGAAUCUGUGGGAUAUGGGCAUGGUUUACUGCAGUUGAUCCAGAAAUAUCCAGUUGAACAUGCUUCAAAGAAGCAAUAAAUGCAGAACAUCAAUGAAAAUUUAAGGAGAACCUUAUAUGUGUAGAAGCAUAAGUGUACUUCGCAAAAAGAGCAACUUGUAGAAAUAUCUGCAUUGAAGCAAGACUAAGCCUUUCUUCGGAGAUACAUGUAUGAUAUCUUAAAUCUUCUAGUGUGAAAGGUGUAAAUUUUGAAAUUUUCUAUAAAAAUUACUUUAAAAAUAAGGUAUAUGCAUAGCAAAAUAUCCAUGUACAUGAUUUGAACAUGUUCAAACAUACGCUGGUUGUGUGCGAUGUCAGCUUUGUGUAUUUGCAUCACUUAUGAAUCAGUGCGAAGGAAAACCAUAUAUGAAAGGUGAAGAUAACGAGCAGUGAUCAAAUAUAUCUACAGCACAAAUUCAGCAAAAGGGCAUACACGGAGUAGGAGAGGAAGAAACAUCAUUCGCUACACGAAAUCGCUAUUGAAAAACAGGUGAAGAUAACGAACAGUGAUCAAUCUCAUAACUCCUAUAAGUUAUGAUUUGUCAAUUUGCAACAGUAACGAUUGACAAGCUAGACAGACCGAUAUAAUUUACUCUAACUAGCCAUUGAAAAGUUCAUGAAUGGGAUUUGUAAAGCUACGAUAUUGAAGUAUAUGUUAUUUAACUUAUCUUAUGAAUGAAUUGCAGAAGUUGUUCAAUUACAUAUCAAUAUGCUAGAUAGAUUAAGUGUGAAAACAUUGAAGCCAUCACCUCAAGUAGGAUAGCGAAUCAUUCAAAUGUGUGUGUUAACAUAUUUUGUUCCGUAAGAGUUUGGUUUGACUUAAAUGAAUUUAAAAUGAAAUAAUUUGAUGUGUAUUGGGGAUAUUAGGUCUACAAUAUUAGGUAUUUCCGUAAAGUUAUCAAUAAGCGAUUAAUGUACACUUGGUUGUCAUGUAUUUACAGUUUAACAUAUCAUUUGUAACUUAUCACCCCGAUUGAUAAUCCCAAAGAUAAAAUUGAGUGGAUAUGUUAAUAAUGCAUAGCCAUAUAUAAUCACCAACAUUGGGAACCCUACUUUAUGUUGAUACAUUUGAUAUAUUGGUGGUUGAGACUGAAGAUAAGAACUUCACAUUUGCUUUUUGAAUAAUUUUGAUAUUUUCCACAUGCUCAUAAUUUAGAUAAUUCCGAACUUGUCUUCAUUGUGAUCAAUACAUCUGUCUAGUAUUAAACUUGGAUUCCCCCCUUACAGUUAUUAUUAUUAUUAUUCAUGUAUAUACAUGUAGCACUGUAUCUAAUGAACAGAAUUACCCUAAUGCGCAUUACAUAUAAAACAAUAAAAACAAACCAAAAGAAAGAACUAAAAUAAAGAACAAUAAAUACAUAGAAAAAGGCAUAAAAUAAUACUA